ACCAANGCGACGACGGUACCCGCCUGARAGGUGACCGGCCMCACUGGGANUGARACACGGCCCAGAUUCCUACGGGAGGCAGCAGUGGGAAUAUGCACAAUGGCGAAAGCCUGAUGCAGCAACGCCGCGUGAGGGAUGACGGCCUUCGGGUUGUAACCUCUUUUAGUAGGGAAGAAGCGAAAGUGACGGUACCUGCAGAAAAAGCACCGGCUAACUACGUGCCAGCAGCCGCGGUAAUACGUAGGGUGCAAGCGUUGUCCGGAAUUAUUGGGCGUAAAGAGCUCGUAGGCGGUUUGUCGCGUCUGCUGUGAAAUCUGGGGGCUCAACCCCCAGCCUGCAGUGGGUACGGGCAGACUAGAGUGCGGUAGGGGAGAUUGGAAUUCCUGGUGUAGCGGUGGAAUGCGCAGAUAUCAGGAGGAACACCGAUGGCGAAGGCAGAUCUCUGGGCCGUAACUGACGCUGAGGAGCGAAAGCAUGGGGAGCGAACAGGAUUAGAUACCCUGGUAGUCCAUGCCGUAAACGUUGGGAACUAGAUGUGGGGGCCAUUCCACGGUCUCCGUGUCGCAGCUAACGCAUUAAGUUCCCCGCCUGGGGAGUACGGCCGCAAGGCUAAAACUCAAAGGAAUUGACGGGGGCCCGCACAAGCGGCGGAGCAUGCGGAUUAAUUCGAUGCAACGCGAAGAACCUUACCAAGGCUUGACAUAUACCGGAAACGUCCAGAGAUGGUCGCCCCGCAAGGUCGGUAUACAGGUGGUGCAUGGUUGUCGUCAGCUCGUGUCGUGAGAUGUUGGGUUAAGUCCCGCAACGAGCGCAACCCUCGUUCUAUGUUGCCAGCACGUUAUGGUGGGAACUCAUAGGAGACUGCCGGGGUCAACUCGGAGGAAGGUGGGGAUGACGUCAAAUCAUCAUGCCCCUUAUGUCUUGGGCUUCACGCAUGCUACAAUGGCCGGUACAAAGGGCUGCGAUACCGUAAGGUGGAGCGAAUCCCAAAAAGCCGGUCUCAGUUCGGAUUGAGGUCUGCAACUCGACCUCAUGAAGUCGGAGUCGCUAGUAAUCGCAGAUCAGCAACGCUGCGGUGAAUACGUUCCCGGGCCUUGUACACACCGCCCGUCAAGUCAUGAAAGUCGGUAACACCCGAAGCCAGUGGCCUAACCCUUGUGGAUGGAGCGU
rnacentral:rRNA from 1 species